rfam:Schistosoma mansoni strain Puerto Rico chromosome 3, complete genome
AUCCAGCUGACGUGUCUCAAACAGGACGAAACGCAUGUCCUGAAU